CGUGCUCAUCCAUUUCUCUCUGCGCUGCGCCGCCUCCCAUUUUUUUUUUUGUGUUCUCAGGAGUACAGAAAAUCAACAGCCCUGUCCUCCUUUUACAUUUCUGUGGUGAUUAAUUAGAAGAGCUGAAUCUUAUGGCAUCCUCUUUGGUCUUUUCUUCCCCAGCUUCUUCGUUCAUCAGCAACAAGAAAGAUUUGGGCUUUUCUGCUUUUCCUUCGACAUCUCAAUUUGCCAUUCACAAAUUCAAGAAACAGGUUUCCAAGAAAAUCGUCUCAGUCAUGGCACCCCAGCAAUCAGAGCGUAAACCAGCCACCACUGGCUCUGUGAAGACUGGAAUGACAAUGACAGAGAAGAUUCUUGCAAGAGCCUCUGAGAAACCACAGUUGCGCCCAGGUGAUAAUGUUUGGGUUAAUGUUGAUAUAUUGAUGACACAUGAUGUUUGUGGUCCUGGUUCCAUUGGUAUCUUCAAGAAAGAAUUUGGUGAAAAUGCAAAGGUUUGGGACCGUGAACAGAUUGUUAUUAUACCUGAUCAUUAUAUAUUCACAAGUGAUGAACGUGCAAAUCGUAACGUGGAUAUUUUGAGGGAUUUUUGCACUGAGCAAAAUAUCAAGUAUUUUUAUGAUAUUAAAGAUCUUAGUAAUUUCAAGGCAAACCUUGAUUAUAAAGGUGUAUGCCAUGUUGCACUUGCCCAAGAAGGUCACUGCAGGCCUGGAGAGGUUUUGUUAGGGACAGAUUCUCACACCUGUACUGCUGGAGCAUUCGGUCAAUUUGCUACAGGAAUUGGAAAUACAGAUGCAGGCUUUGUAUUAGGCACUGGGAAGCUUCUGCUCAAGGUGCCACAGACUUUGAGAUUUGUGAUGGAUGGUGAAAUGCCUCAUUAUUUGCUUGCAAAGGAUUUGAUUUUGCAGAUCAUUGGUGAAAUAUCUGUAGCUGGUGCAACAUAUAAAUCAAUGGAGUUUGUUGGAACAGUUGUGGAAAGUUUAAAUAUGGAAGAACGGAUGACCUUAUGCAAUAUGGUUGUCGAAGCUGGUGGAAAGAAUGGUGUUGUUCCCGCUGAUAGUACUACAUUUAAGUACCUUGAGGAUAAAACAUCUGUGCCAUAUGAACCAGUAUACAGUGAUGCACAAGCAAGUUUUCUUUCUGAGUACAUAUUUGAUAUCUCAAAAUUGGAGCCCUUGGUAGCUAAGCCACAUUCUCCUGAUAAUCGUGCUUUGGCAAGAGAAUGCAAAGAUGUUAAAAUUGACAGAGUAUAUAUUGGAUCUUGUACCGGUGGAAAAACAGAAGAUUUUCUUGCUGCUGCUAAAGUCUUUCUAGCUUCAGGAAAGAAGGUCAAAGUUCCUACAUUCCUUGUCCCUGCUACGCAAAAGGUUUGGAUAGACAUUUAUACCCUUCCUGUGCCAGGAUCUGGUGGGAAGACGUGCUUCCAGAUAUUUGAAGAAGCUGGCUGUGAUACACCUGCAAGCCCUAGCUGUGGUGCUUGUUUGGGUGGCCCUAAAGACACUUAUGCACGUAUGAAUGAACCGAAGGUCUGUGUCUCGACUACAAACCGGAACUUCCCUGGCCGGAUGGGGCACAAGGAAGGCCAGAUAUAUCUUGCUUCCCCAUAUACAGCAGCAGCAUCAGCUUUGACCGGUUAUGUCACUGAUCCAAGGGAGUUUUUGCAGUAGAAACUUGAGUAACUUGCCCACACGAGUAUCUGGAGGCUGAAAAGAAAAAAAAUGGAGAAAGAAAAUGGAGCUUUACUGUUGAGUACUUUUGUGCUAAUUCUCAUGGUGAAGGAUGCUUGCGCCAGCAACUGUCGUAAUAAGAAUUUCGGGAUCAUUAGUAUUAUCAUUAGCGGUGGCAAUGAGAAUGGAUAUGAUGGUGACUGCUGCAUCAAAGAUACUCGAUUGUCCCAAAAGGCAGUCCGACUGUCCUUCCACUCUUAACCUGGAUUCAUCGGACCGGAUGUGCUAUGAUAUCCAAACGAGCGAAGUUACGGCAGAGUAGAAUCCUACUUACAAACUUGAACUGUAGCUAAUGAAAAUGAUCAAUAAGAACUAAAGGGUCGUAAUGGAAGCCGUUGAAAAUUGGUCCUACAAUUGUAAAAGAAUGAUGUAACUAAUGUUUAGUAAUUCUUAAAUGUCUGAAUCAUUUGAGGGCUCGAGGAAGUUAAAGAUGGCAGGAAGAGCACUACUGUAGAAAGUACUUGACAUUAUCUUUUUCUUUUC